UACGUAGGUGACCAGCGUUGUCCGGAUUUACUGGGCGUAAAGAGCGCGCAGGCGGUCGUUCAAGUCGAGUGUGAAAGCCCCCGGCUCAACUGGGGAGGGUCACUCGAUACUGAUCGACUUGAAGGCAGGAGAGGGAAGCGGAAUUCCCGGUGUAGUGGUGAAAUGCGUAGAUAUCGGGAGGAACACCAGUGGCGAAGGCGGCUUCCUGGCCUGUUCUUGACGCUGAGGCGCGAAAGCGUGGGGAGCAAACAGG
rnacentral:rRNA from 1 species